rnacentral:rRNA from 1 species
GAGAACGCUGGCGGCGUGCCUAACACAUGCAAGUCGAGCGGGGUUGAGGCGAGAGGUAACUCGAACUUCUACCUAGCGGCGGACGGGUGAGUAACGCGUGGGCAACCUGCCUCAAAGGUUUGGGAUAACAGCCCGAAAGGGCUGCUAAUACCGGAUAUGCCUAUGGCCUCGCAUGGGGCUAUGAGCAAAGGGGAAACCCGCCUUGAGAUGGGCCCGCGUCCCAUCAGCUAGUUGGUGAGGUAACAGCUCACCAAGGCGACGACGGGUAGCCGGCCUGAGAGGGUGACCGGCCACACUGGGACUGAGACACGGCCCAGACUCCUACGGGGGGCAGCAGUGGGGGAUCUUGCACAAUGGGCGAAAGCCUGAUGCAGCGACGCCGCGUGAGCGAAGAAGGCCUUCGGGUUGUAAAGCUCUGUCUGGAGGGACGAACAAAAUGACGGUACCUCCGGAGGAAGCCACGGCUAACUACGUG